GGCGAUGUAGCUCAAUUGGCAGAGCAAACGAAUCAUAAUCGUUGGGUUGGCCGUUCAAGUCGGCCCAUCGCCA
rnacentral:tRNA from 1 species